rnacentral:lncRNA from 8 species
UACUGUAGGCCUAAUAAUAUCAUACUCCCAUCAUUAGGCAAUAAUGUAACCAUCUGCUUUACCAGCAGUUCGCCGACAGGAGUUUUGGAUUCAAAUCCCUCCCCUUUAAUGACGAGUUUUUCCUCGGUGAACGUCGUGGGCUUGGUGAUGUAUCUUGAGCACAGUUUCAAUAUUCGUCGUGUGAAGGUAGCGGUACAUUUCCCUCUUAAAGUGAGUCCGUAGCCAAGGGCGUGGGCUGAGACGAACAGAGUGCCCUUGUACCCGUUCCACCUUCCUUGUUUUUACCGGGCCGACCGGCGACCCGCACGGGCUCGGCAAGAUGAGUGACAUGAGUCGACUAACGGGAAAGAUUGGAGACGCAACUUUGAUAGAGAUGAGCCCGGAUUCUCCCUGUGAUGAGGACAACAACGGCUACCACCACCAUCACCGUGACAUCGACCUUGACGAGUAUCCACACUCCCAGCCUGACCCCUCAGAGGUAAACACACACACACACACACACACACACACACACACACACACACACACACACACACACACACACACACACACACACACACACACACACACACACAGACACACACACACAGACACACAGACACACACACAGACACACACACACAGACACACAGACACACACACACAGACACACACACCACAUUCUCCUGCAAGGGUUCAGUUCUCACUUCAAAUCACACUGUGGAUGUGGAGUCACUUCACUAUCAUUGAAAUAUCAGUUGCAAGACUGGGACCUUGAGUGGGAAUAUGGAUUUAUUUAAUAGGUUGGUUGGUUGAUUGAAUAUUGAUGGAGUGGGAUUUACACAAUACAUGAUAUAAAAGACCAAUACGGUUGAGUUUGAUCUUAAAACAGCUGUUACAUCUGCUGGGGUGCCACGGUAAAAGUCUGUCCUCUCCUCUACACUAGUUGUUCACCAUUCAGUGCUGGGUAGUGUAUAAUUGUGCAUAUACCCCAAUACAAGUCUAUUCAAUGCUGGGUUGCUUCUUCUUCUCCUUCCUGCGCUAGACCAGUUUGCAUGUUAUUGGGUCAUGCAAAUGUGUUUAUUUCCAUAGUCUAAUGACACUUUCCAACUCACUUGUUACAUUUUCCAGUCCACGGUGUAAAACUUAAAACAUGUUGCCCUGACCAGUUUGGGUCUUUUCUGGCAACACGAAGUUGUGAAUUUCAUGAUGUCUCUGGGGAUGUUUGUGUUUUAUGAAUGUCCUUCCUUCCUUCCUUUCUUUCCCUUCCUGAAGUGUCAUAGCAACACUGAUUAUAUCUUUCAGUGUACAGUAGUGGAUAAAAACACACCACCCCUUUAAACACCCCACCCCUUUAACCACACCGCUGCCUUUAACCACACCGCCCCUUUAACCAUCCCACCCCUUUAACCACCCCACCCCUUAAAACACCCCGCCCCUUUAAACACCCCACCCCUUUAACCACCCCACCCCUUUAAUCACCCCACCUCUUUAAACACCCCAUCCCUUUAACCACACCACCCCUUUAACCCACCACCACUCCUCUAUGGCCAGGAUGUGGCUAGAUGUCUUGGCCUUAGUGGUCUUCAGGUUGUCUAUAAGACUGUGUGUGUGUGUGUGUGCGCGUGUACAGAUGUAGAAUCUUAAUUUGAGCCAGUGUGUUACAGCAGGAAAAUGUGAAUUAUUAUGUGGAUUAUAAUUUAAUGGACAUUUCAAAGGUGAAAUUACACAUUUUAGAAACCUUUUUAAAACUCAAAUACUCUACAAUUUUGCAACAAAAGAAUUAUCAAAUUAAGAUCCUACAUCUGUGUGCAUGUGUGUUUGAGGGGUGGGACUACCUCCCCCUUUCCCUCCUCUCCCUAAACCUGGACAGAGCCUUAAAUACAUGUCCACUGUAACAGGGCUGACUGAGGUAAGAAGUGGCAGAGACACUGCUGCUCGCUGCACGGGAGGUGUGUGUGUGUGUGUGUGUGUGUGUGUGUGUGUGUGUGUGUGUGUGUGUGUGUGUGUGUGUGUGUGUGUGUGUGUGUUUGCAUGUGUGUGUUUGCGUGUGUGUGUGUGUGUGUGUGUGUGUGUGUGUGUGUGUGUGUGUGUGUGUGUGUGUGUGUGUGUGUGUGUGUGUGUGUGUGUGUGUUUGUUUGUUUGUUUUUCCGGUUUCGAUAGAUUAAAUAAAGUUGUGUUUGUUUAGUGUCAUUUUACAGUCUUUACACAAACCUGCAGCUGUCUGUUAAAUACCUAAUAAUCUCUGUGUGUGUAUAUGAGUGUAUGAGUGUUGACAUACUACAUCACUACCUGCUGUAAUUGUUGUCAGUGUGUAAUUGAGCAUCCAUUGGUUACUUUGUGCUAGUCAUAUAAUGGAAGGUACAAUAGUGUGUUCUUAUUUAAUUUAUCCCCUUUGUGGGACAGUAGGCCAUAGAUUAGAUCUGGAUGCUGCUUAUCUUAUCUAUGUUUUAGAUGCCAGACUUGGUGGGAGUAUGGAGUUGUUGUGUGUGGAAUGAGAGUGUCAGCGCCAGAGAUUUCUCAUCCUGCUACUGGUCCUGUGUGGCUGGCUAUAUCCUGAUUCUCUAUAUUCCUCAUCAUGGAUUUCAAAGGUUCAACCCAAACGACUUUCCACCAAACGCUAAGUUAAUGUCAGUGUAUGCUAGGAGUGGUGGUAGGAGUCAGGCGCAGAGAGCAGAGGUAAGGAGGUAAUGUGUUUAUUCCGUAACACAACAAAAACGGUCGACGCCAACACAACCGGCGUGAAAAUGCGAGGUGCCCAAAACCAACAGGCGCACAGCACUCACAUAAAACAACACUAGUCGAUCGCCAGCACAUCCAAUAACAAAACACACUGACGCAAAUAAUCCCGCACAAACCUGGGCGGGCUAAACAGGCUUAAAUAACCAUAAAUCAAGAGAACCAAAUGGGGGACAGGUGCAAACAAUAAGACCAUACCAAACGAAAAUGAAAAAGGCAUCAGCGGCGGCUAGUAGGCCGGUGACGACGACCGCCGAGCGCCGCCCGAGCAGGCAGGGGAGUCACCUUCGGUGGGAUUCGUGACAGUUAAACUAAUAACAAAUGAAUAUAUCUCAAUCAGGUAAAUAUAAAUCAUAAAGGUACCUAAUAUUUCAUCAUAUACAUUCAUAUUUAAUAUAUUUACACACACGUACAUGGAGCUCUGGUUGUUCUGUCUUUUAUACAAAUAUGUCCACAUCGGCUCUAACAGUCCUUUAGUAGUGGUUUCUUUGCAGCAAUUCGACCGCGAAGGCCUGAUUCACACAGUCUCCUCUGAACAGUUGAUGUUGAGAUGUGUCUGUUACUUGAAUUCUGUGAAGCAUUUAUUUGGGCUGCAAUUUCUGAGGUGCUGUUAUCUCUAAUGAACUUAUCCUCUGCAGCAGAGGUAACUCUGGGUCUUCCUUUCCUGUGGCGGUCCUCAUGAGAGCCAGUUUCAUCAUAGUGCUUGAUGGUUUUUGCAACCGCACUUGAAGACACUUUUAAAGUUCUUGAAAUGUUCAGUAUUGACUGACCUUCAUGUCUUAAAGUAAUGAUGGACUGUCAUUUCUCUUUGCUUAUUUGAGCUGUUCUUGCCAUAAUAUGGACUUGGUCUUUUACCAAAUAGGGCUAUCUUCUGUAUACCACUCCUACCUUGUCACAAUACAACUGAUUGGCUCAAAGGCAUUCAGAAGGAAAUAAAUUCCACAAAUUAACUUUUAAGAAGGCACACCUGUUAAUUGAAAUGCAUUCCAGGUGACUACCUCAUGAAGCUGGUUGAGAGAAUGUCAAGAGUGUGCAAAGCUGUCACUUUGAAGAAUUUGUUUAACACUUUUUUUUUGGUUACGACGUGAUUCCAUAUGUGUUAUUUCAUAGUUUUGAUGUCUUCACUAUUAUUCUGCAAUGUCGAAAAUAAUAGUGAAAAAUUAAGAAAAACAGUUGAACGAGUAGGUAGUGUCCAAACUGUUGACUGGUACUGUAUAUGUGAUGAUAUAUGUGACGCCAUUGUUUUACUCCAUUGUCUUACGUCAGAUAGUGCACCAACUGUUAGAAUGACGUAGCUGUCGUAAAACACCCUGACUUCGUUCCUCCUCCAUGAUUUUUUAACUAGGACUUUUAGUGACAAGCAUCACAUGAAAAAUUAGGACGUUUUGAUUUUAUUUUGCAACAUACUGUUAAAAUAGUACACUUGUGGAAGGUAUUGCGUGCAUGUAACAGUAUAGCUUUCCGUCCCUCUCCUCGCCCCAACCUGGGUUCGAACCAGGGACCCUCUGCACACAUCAACAACUGACACCCCCACGAAGCAUCGUUACCCAUCGCGCCACAAAAACCGCGGCAGAGCAAAGGGGAACAACUACUUCAGGUAUCGGAGCGAGUGACGUCACCUGAUUGGAAACGCUAUUAGCGCGCACCACCGCUAACUAGCUAGCUAUUUCACAUCGGUAACAUGCACAUUCUGCAAAGCAUCUAAAACCCUUCUGCUGUGGACCUUGGGCAUGGAAACAAGGAGAUAUGAACUCAUGUGUUCCUCAUUAAAAAUGAAAAACAGUUGUUUUGUUCUCACCUGUGAUUAUACAGUCAGGGUUAGGUGCAAUAACAGCUCUCUCUUUCUCUCUCACACACACACACACACACACACACACACACACACACACACACACACACACACACACACACACACACACACACACACACACACACACACACACACAGCGAGAAACA